CAGUCGCCGCGGGAAUACGUAGGUCCCGAGCGUUGUCCGGAUUUAUUGGGCGUAAAGCGAGCGCAGGCGGUUAGAUAAGUCUGAAGUUAAAGGCUGUGGCUUAACCAUAGUACGCUUUGGAAACUGUUUAACUUGAGUGCAAGAGGGGAGAGUGGAAUUCCAUGUGUAGCGGUGAAAUGCGUAGAUAUAUGGAGGAACACCGGUGGCGAAAGCGGCUCUCCGGCUCGAAACUGACGCUGAGGCGCGAAAGCGUGGGGAGCAAACAGGAUUAGAUACCCCGGUAGUCCCUGUCUCUUAUACA
rnacentral:rRNA from 1 species